rnacentral:rRNA from 1 species
UAAGCGGAGGAAAAGAAACUAACAAGGAUUCCCCUAGUAACGGCGAGUGAAGUGGGAAAAGCUCAACUUUGUAAUCUGGCUGUCUUUGGCAGUCCGAGUUGUAGUCUAGAGAAGUGUUAUCCGCGCAGACCCUUAUAGAUUUCGGUUGGAAUGCCAAGUCAAAGAGGGUGAGAAUCCCGUAUUUGAUAAGGUGGUCUUGUGCAUUGUGAUACGCUUUCAAAGAGUCGAGUUGUUUGGGAAUGCAGCUCAAAGUGGGUGGUAAAUUCCAUCUAAAGCUAAAUAUUGGCGAGAGACCGAUAGCGAACAAGUACCGUGAGGGAAAGAUGAAAAGCACUUUGGAAAGAGAAUGAAAUAGUACCUGAAAUUGCUGAAAGGGAAACGAGUGAAGUUAGACUUGCGCAGUUGGUAUUCAGCCUUGGCUUCGGUCUUGGUGCAUUUGCCUUCUAUUGCAGGCCAACAUCAGUUUACUUUGCGGUAAAAGGGUUUAGGGAAUGUGGCUUCUUCGGGAGUGUUAUAGCCCUUUACUGGAUGCCGAAUCGUAGACUGAGGAACGCAGCGCGCCUUUCGGGGCAAAGCUUUCAAGCUUCGAGCGCUUAGGAUGUUGGUAGAAUAGCUUUACACGACCCGUCUUGAAACACG